rnacentral:rRNA from 1 species
CAGAGGGUUCGAUUCUGGCUCAGAUUGAACGCUGGCGGAUGCUUUACACAUGCAAGUCGAACGGCAGCACGGACUUCGGUCUGCGGCGAGGGCGAACGGGUGAGUAAUGUAUCGGAACGUGCCUAGUAGCGGGGAUAACUACGCAGCGAAAGCGGUGCUACUACCGUACACGACCCUCGGGGAAAGCGGGGGACCUUCGGGCCUCGCACUAUUAGAGCGUUCGAUAUAUUUGAUUAGCUAGUUGGGUGGGGCAAUCGGCCCACUGAGUGACGAUCCGUAGCUGGUUUGAGAGGACGACCAGCCACAUUGGGACUGAGACACGGCCCAGACUCCUACGGGAGGCAAGGUGGGGAAUUUUGGACAAUGGGGGAAAACCCUGAUCCAGCCAUCCCGCGUGUGCGAUGAAGGCCUUCGGGUUGUAAAGCACUUUUGGCAGGAAAGAAACGGCACGGGAUAAUACCCCGUGCAACUGACGGUACCUGCAGAAUAAAGCACCGGCUAACUACGUGCCAGCAGCCGCGGUAAUACGUAGGGUGCAAGCGUUAAUCGGAAUUACUGGGCGUAAAGGCGUGUCUGGAAAGAAAGAUGUGAAAUCCCAGAGCUUAACUUUGGAACUGCAUUUUUAAUUCACUGAUGGAGGUACAGAGAGGUGGAAUUCGCGUGUAGCAGUGAAAUGCGUAGAUAUGCGGAGGAACACCGAUGGCGAAGGCAAUUUCCGGGAUAACACUGACGCUCAGCACUAAGCGUGGAGCAAAAACAGAUUAGAUACCCCGGUAGUCCACGCCCUAAACACAACGGCUGUUGGGGCCUUCGCCUUGGUAGCGCAGCUAACGGUGAAGCGACCAGCCUUGGGGGAGUACGGUCGCAAGAUUAAAACUCAAAGAACUGACGGGGACCCGCACAAGCGGUGGAUGAUGUGGAUUAAUUCGAUGCAACGCGAAAAACCUUACCUACCCUUGACAUGUCUGGAAUCCCGAAGAGAUUUGGGAGUGCUGCCUGCAAGAGAACCGGAACACAGGUGCUGCAUGGCUGUCGUCAGCUCAAAAAUGUGAGAUGGGUUAAGUCCCGCAACGAGCGCAACCCCUUGUCAUUAGUUGCUACGAAAGGGCACUCUAAUGAGACUGCCGGUGACAAACCGGAGGAAGGUGGGGAUGACGUCAUUCUCAUGGCCUUUAUGGGUAGGGUCAUUACCGUCAUACAAUGGUCGGGACAGAGGGUCGCCAACCCGCGAUGUAGCCUGCAUCCCAGAAACCCGGAUCGUAGUCCGCCGACUGCAGUUCGGUAACUCGACUGCGUGAAGUCGGAAUCGCUAGUAAUCGCGGAUCAUAUGUCGCGGUGAAUACGUUCCUGGUCUGCGUACACACCGCCUGUCACACCAUGGGGAGUGGGGUUUUACCAGAAGUAGUUAAAUUAACCGUAAGGAGGGAGCAUUACCACGGUAGAUCUAUGACUGGGGUGAAGUCGCAAUAAGGUAA